AGGGCGCAUGGUGGAUGCCUUGGCAUCGAGAGCCGAUGAAGGACGUGGGAGGCUGCGAUAUGCCUCGGGGAGCUGUCAACCGAGCAUUGAUCCGAGGAUUUCCGAAUGGGGAAACCCAGCACGAGUGAUGUCGUGUUACCCGUAUCUGAAUAUAUAGGGUGCGGGAGGUAACGCGGGGAAGUGAAACAUCUCAGUACCCGUAGGAGAAGAAAACAAUUGUGAUUCCGUCAGUAGUGGCGAGCGAACGCGGAACAGGCUAAACCGCAUGCAUGGACAACCGGGUAGGGGUUGUGUGUGCGGGGUUGUGGGAUUGAUAUGUCUCAGCUCUACCUGGCUGAGGGGUAGUCAGAAAGUGUCGUGGUUAGCGGAAGUGGCCUGGGACGGCCCGCCGUAGACGGUGAGAGCCCGGUACGCGAAAACCCGGCACCUGCCUUAUAUCAACACCCGAGUAGCAGCGGGCCCGUGGAAUCUGCUGUGAAUCUGCCGGGACCACCCGGUAAGCCUAAAUACUUCUCGAUGACCGAUAGCGGAUUAGUACCGUGAGGGAAUGGUGAAAAGUACCCCGGGAGGGGAGUGAAAUAGUACCUGAAACCGUGUGCCUACAAUCCGUCAGAGCCUCCUCGUGGGGUGAUGGCGUGCCUUUUGAAGAAUGAGCCUGCGAGUCAGGGACACGUCGCGAGGUUAACCCGUGCGGGGUAGCCGCAGCGAAAGCGAGUCUGAAUAGGGCGCAUCCCUUUUGGGGUGUAGUGGCGUGUUCUGGACCCGAAGCGGAGUGAUCUACCCAUGGCCAGGGUGAAGCGCGGGUAAGACCGCGUGGAGGCCCGAACCCACUUAGGUUGAAGACUGAGGGGAUGAGCUGUGGGUAGGGGUGAAAGGCCAAUCAAACUCCGUGAUAGCUGGUUCUCCCCGAAAUGCAUUUAGGUGCAGCGUUGCGUGGUUCACCACGGAGGUAGAGCUACUGGAUGGCCGAUGGGCCCUACUAGGUUACUGACGUCAGCCAAACUCCGAAUGCCGUGGUGUAAAGCGUGGCAGUGAGACGGCGGGGGAUAAGCUCCGUACGUCGAAAGGGAAACAGCCCAGAUCGCCGGCUAAGGCCCCUAAGCGUGUGCUAAGUGGAAAAGGAUGUGUAGUCGCAGAGACAACCAGGAGGUUGGCUUAGAAGCAGCCACCCUUGAAAGAGUGCGUAAUAGCUCACUGGUCAAGUGAUUAUGCGCCGAUAAUGUAGCGGGGCUCAAGCACACCGCCGAAGCCGCGGCACAUUCAUCUUUACGGUGGAUGUGGGUAGGGGAGCGUCCCCCAUUCAGCGAAGCCUCCGGGUGAUCGGUGGUGGAGGGUGGGGGAGUGAGAAUGCAGGCAUGAGUAGCGAUAAGGCAAGUGAGAACCUUGCCCGCCGUAAGACCAAGGGUUCCUGGGCCAGGCCAGUCCGCCCAGGGUGAGUCGGGACCUAAGGCGAGGCCGACAGGCGUAGUCGAUGGACAACGGGUUGAUAUUCCCGUACCCGUGUAUGGGCGUCCCUGAUGAAUCAGCGGUACUAACCACCCAAAACCGGAUCGACCAUUCCCCUUCGGGGGCGUGGCGAUUCGGGGCUGCGUGGGACCUUCGCUGGUAGUAGUCAAGCAAUGGGGUGACGCAGGAAGGCAGCCGUACCAGUCAGUGGUAAUACUGGGGCAAGCCCGUAGGGAGAGCGAUAGGCAAAUCCGUCGCUCACUAAUCCUGAGAGGUGAUGCAUAGCCGGUUGAGGCGAAUUCGGUGAUCCUCUGCUGCCAAGAAAAGCCUCUAGCGAGCACAUACACGGCCCGUACCCCAAACCAACACAGGUGGUCAGGUAGAGAAUACCAAGGCGUACGAGAUAACUAUGGUUAAGGAACUCGGCAAAAUGCCCCCGUAACUUCGGGAGAAGGGGGGCCGGAAUACCGUGAACACCCUUGCGGUGGGAGCGGGAUUCGGCCGCAGAAACCAGUGGGUAGCGACUGUUUACUAAAAACACAGGUCCGUGCGAAGUCGCAAGACGAUGUAUACGGACUGACGCCUGCCCGGUGCUGGAAGGUUAAGAGGACCCGUUAACCCGUAAGGGUGAAGCGGAGAAUUUAAGCCCCAGUAAACGGCGGUGGUAACUAUAACCAUCCUAAGGUAGCGAAAUUCCUUGUCGGGUAAGUUCCGACCUGCACGAAUGGCGUAACGACUUCCCAACUGUCUCAACCAUAGACUCGGCGAAAUUGCACUACGAGUAAAGAUGCUCGUUACGCGCGGCAGGACGAAAAGACCCCGGGACCUUCACUACAACUUGGUAUUGGUGUUCGGUACGGUUUGUGUAGGAUAGGUGGGAGACUUUGAAGCACAGACGCCAGUUUGUGUGGAGUCGUUGUUGAAAUACCACUCUGAUCGUAUUGGACACCUAACGUCGAACCCUUAUCGGGUUCACGGACAGUGCCUGGCGGGUAGUUUAACUGGGGCGGUUGCCUCCUAAAAUGUAACGGAGGCGCCCAAAGGUUCCCUCAACCUGGACGGCAAUCAGGUGGCGAGUGUAAGUGCACAAGGGAGCUUGACUGCGAGACUUACAAGUCAAGCAGGGACGAAAGUCGGGACUAGUGAUCCGGCACCCCCGAGUGGAAGGGGUGUCGCUCAACGGAUAAAAGGUACCCCGGGGAUAACAGGCUGAUCUUCCCCAAGAGUCCAUAUCGACGGGAUGGUUUGGCACCUCGAUGUCGGCUCGUCGCAUCCUGGGGCUGGAGCAGGUCCCAAGGGUUGGGCUGUUCGCCCAUUAAAGCGGCACGCGAGCUGGGUUUAGAACGUCGUGAGACAGUUCGGUCUCUAUCCGCCGCGCGCGUCAGAAACUUGAGGAAACCUGUCCCUAGUACGAGAGGACCGGGACGGACGAACCUCUGGUAUACCAGUUGUCCCACCAGGGGCACGGCUGGAUAGCCACGUUCGGACAGGAUAACCGCUGAAAGCAUCUAAGCGGGAAACCUUCUCCAAGAUCAGGUUUCUCACCCUUUU
rnacentral:rRNA from 8 species